rnacentral:tRNA from 1 species
GACUGGAUAGUCUAGUGUUCAAAAGCAUCACUUCUAAUGAUGAGAUCCCAGGUUUGAAUCCUGGUCUAGUCA